CACAGGUAUUGCCCUAAUCUUUAUGGUAGGAUCAUCAUUUUGUGGGUGACCAUAUAGAAGUUCCCUCAUAUAAAGGCUCAUCUGUAUCAGCCUCCAUCAAGUGACUCAUGUUAUGUACUUGUGAACCGAUCGCCCUGCACACAUAUACCUGCCGCACCUUUCAGAGGACUGCAUAUACCCAAUAUCUACCUACAAGAGGGAACAUAAUCCUUGGACCACCACCUACUUCUUAAAUAAAUUCUACCUGGGCCUCUCUAUCUAAGCACACCAGUGAACUAUCUUUACUUCUGGUUAUUGUAUCACAAAAGAAUCAUUAUUCAGUGAGAUAAGUAACAGGAGAAACUAUACUCCUUCCUCCUCUGCACUUGUCCCUGAAGAGUUGUGCCACUUUGAAAUGCGCCACAACGAAACGCAUUGGAUUUAUGUGGCUUAAAUUGUACUAACAUUGUAUGUAAUCACUGUACAAAAUAUAGAUGUGCUUACAAAUUCUAUACUCACUGAAUAUUUUGUGGAGGUUUUCUACAAACCAGCUAGUAAACUAUUCGUGGCUUGCUAUACACACUGCACCCGGUGCCUCCAUUCCCUCCAUAACCAGGGAGAGAUAGGAGGUUUCUGUUGCAGGUUGGCAUUCUCCAGGAAGGCCUCCCUACAGUAACAGGUAGGGGGUCCUAAGGGACUAGAAAAGCCAGUAUAGCCUAACCCUAGUAACAGUCCCAGU